ACACAUGCAAGUCGAGCGCACCCUUUCGGGGCGAGCGGCGGACGGGUUAGUAACGCGUGGGAACAUACCCUUUACUACGGAAUAGCCUCGGGAAACUGAGAGUAAUACCGUAUGUGCCCUUCGGGGGAAAGAUUUAUCGGUAAAGGAUUGGCCCGCGUUAGAUUAGAUAGUUGGUGGGGUAAUGGCCUACCAAGUCUACGAUCUAUAGCUGGUUUUAGAGGAUGAUCAGCAACACUGGGACUGAGACACGGCCCAGACUCCUACGGGAGGCAGCAGUGGGGAAUCUUAGACAAUGGGCGCAAGCCUGAUCUAGCCAUGCCGCGUGUGUGAUGAAGGCCUUAGGGUCGUAAAGCACUUUCGCCAGGGAUGAUAAUGACAGUACCUGGUAAAGAAACCCCGGCUAACUCCGUGCCAGCAGCCGCGGUAAUACGGAGGGGGUUAGCGUUGUUCGGAAUUACUGGGCGUAAAGCGUACGUAGGCGGAUCAGAAAGUAAGGGGUGAAAUCCCAGGGCUCAACCCUGGAACUGCCUCUUAAACUCCUGGUCUUGAGUUCGAGAGAGGUGAGUGGAAUUCCGAGUGUAGAGGUGAAAUUCGUAGAUAUUCGGAGGAACACCAGUGGCGAAGGCGGCUCACUGGCUCGAUACUGACGCUGAGGUACGAAAGUGUGGGGAGCAAACAGGAUUAGAUACCCUGGUAGUCCACACCGUAAACGAUGAAUGCCAGUCGUCGGGCAGUAUACUGUUCGGUGACACACCUAACGGAUUAAGCAUCC
rnacentral:rRNA from 1 species